AGCGAACGCUGGCGGCAGGCUUAACACAUGCAAGUCGAGCGGGCCCUUCGGGGUCAGCGGCAGACGGGUGAGUAACACGUGGGAACGUACCCUUUGGUUCGGAAUAACGCUGGGAAACUAGCGCUAAUACCGGAUACGCCCUUUUGGGGAAAGGCUUGCUGCCGAAGGAUCGGCCCGCGCCUGAUUAGCUAGUUGGUGGGGUAAUGGCCUACCAAGGCGACGAUCAGUAGCUGGUCUGAGAGGAUGAUCAGCCACACUGGGACUGAGACACGGCCCAGACUCCUACGGGAGGCAGCAGUGGGGAAUAUUGGACAAUGGGCGCAAGCCUGAUCCAGCCAUGCCGCGUGAGUGAUGAAGGCCUUAGGGUUGUAAAGCUCUUUUGUCCGGGACGAUAAUGACGGUACCGGAAGAAUAAGCCCCGGCUAACUUCGUG
rnacentral:rRNA from 1 species